rnacentral:rRNA from 1 species
AGAGUUUGAUCAUGGCUCAGGAUGAACGCUGGCGGCGUGCUUAACACAUGCAAGUCGAACGGGAACCUCACGACGGAGACUUCGGUUGAAGAUGUGAGAAUUCUAGUGGCGGACGGGUGAGUAACGCGUGGGUAACCUACCCAUGAGAGGGGGAUAACAGGGAGAAAUUCUUGCUAAUACCCCAUAUGCUUACGGUAUCGCAUGAUAUUGUGAGGAAAGAAUUUUUGCUCAUGGAUGGACCCGCGUUUGAUUAGCCAGUUGGUGGGGUAACGGCCUACCAAAGCUACGAUCAAUAGCCGGCCUGAGAGGGUGAUCGGCCACAUUGGGACUGAGACACGGCCCAAACUCCUACGGGAGGCAGCAGUGGGGAAUAUUGCACAAUGGGGGAAACCCUGAUGCAGCAACGCCGCGUGAGUGAAGAAGUAUUUCGGUAUGUAAAGCUCUAUCGAUGGGAAAUAAGAUGAAGGUACCCAAAUAAGAAGCCCCGGCUAACUACGUGCCAGCAGCCGC